GGGUCAUUAAGUUGGUCGUGCCACCGGUACGUACUGGUCUCACUGAUUCCUCCUUCCUGAAGAACCGUAAUGCCAUUAAUUUGGUGUUGCGGGGAAACAGGACUGUUACUUUGAAAAAAUUAGAAUGUUUAAAGCAAGCUAACGCUUGAAUACAUUAGCAUGGAAUAAUGAAAUAGGACGAUCGAUCCUAUUUUGUUGGUUUCUAGGAUUGACGUA
rnacentral:rRNA from 1 species